AGCAGUGUUGCCUAGUGGAUAGAGCAGUAGACUGGGACUCAGAAGAUCUGGGUUCUAGUCCCAGCUCUGCAA
rnacentral:tRNA from 1 species